UGGGGAAUCUUGCGCAAUGGGCGAAAGCCUGACGCAGCCAUGCCGCGUGAGUGAUGAAGGCCUUAGGGUUGUAAAACUCUUUCACCGGGGACGAUAAUGACGGUACCCGGAGAAGAAGCCCCGGCUAACUUCGUGCCAGCAGCCGCGGUAAUACGAAGGGGGCUAGCGUUGCUCGGAAUUACUGGGCGUAAAGGGCGCGUAGGCGGAUCAGCAAGUUGGGGGUGAAAGCCCGGGGCUCAACCUCGGAAUUGCCUUCAAAACUGCUGAUCUAGAGUACGGGGAGAGGUGUGUGGAACUCCGAGUGUAGAGGUGAAAUUCGUAGAUAUUCGGAAGAACACCAGUGGCGAAGGCGACACACUGGCCCGUUACUGACGCUGAGGCGCGAAAGCGUGGGGAGCAAACAGGAUUAGAUACCCUGGUAGUCCACGCUGUAAACGAUGAUUGCUAGUUGUCGGCAGGCA
rnacentral:rRNA from 1 species